rnacentral:rRNA from 1 species
UACGUAGGGUGCGAGCGUUGUCCGGAAUUACUGGGCGUAAAGGGUUCGUAGGUGGCCACCUAAGUCAGACGUGAAAUCCCUCAGCUUAACUGGGGAACUGCGUCUGAUACUGGGUGGCUUGAGUGCAGGAGAGGAAUGCGGAAUUCCAGGUGUAGCGGUGAAAUGCGUAGAUAUCUGGAGGAACACCGGUGGCGAAGGCGGCAUUCUGGACUGUAACUGACACUGAGGAACGAAAGCCAGGGGAGCAAACGGG